ACGGCAGCACGGGAGCAAUCCUGGUGGCGAGUGGCGAACGGGUGAGUAAUAUAUCGGAACGUGCCCAGUCGUGGGGGAUAACGCAGCGAAAGCUGUGCUAAUACCGCAUACGAUCUCUGGAUGAAAGCGGGGGACUCAGCAAUGAGCCUCGCGCGAUUGGAGCGGCCGAUAUCAGAUUAGCUAGUUGGUGGGGUAAAAGCCCACCAAGGCGACGAUCUGUAGCUGGUCUGAGAGGACGACCAGCCACACUGGAACUGAGACACGGUCCAGACUCCUACGGGAGGCAGCAGUGGGGAAUUUUGGACAAUGGGCGCAAGCCUGAUCCAGCAAUGCCGCGUGCAGGAUUAAGGCCUUCGGGUUGUAAACUGCUUUUGUACGGAACGAAACGGUUCUUUCUAAUAAAGAGGGCUAAUGACGGUACCGUAAGAAUAAGCACCGGCUAACUACGUGCCAGCAGCCGCGGUAAUACGUAGGGUGCGAGCGUUAAUCGGAAUUACUGGGCGUAAAGCGUGCGCAGGCGGUUAUAUAAGACAGAUGUGAAAUCCCCGGGCUCAACCUGGGACCUGCAUUUGUGACUGUAUAGCUAGAGUACGGUAGAGGGGGAUGGAAUUCCGCGUGUAGCAGUGAAAUGCGUAGAUAUGCGGAGGAACACCGAUGGCGAAAGCAAUCCCCUGGACCUGUACUGACGCUCAUGCACGAAAGCGUGGGGAGCAAACAGGAUUAGAUACCCUGGUAGUCCACGCCCUAAACGAUGUCAACUGGUUGUUGGGUCUUCACUGACUCAGUAACGAAGCUAACGCGUGAAGUUGACCGCCUGGGG
rnacentral:rRNA from 1 species